UUAGGUUGAAACAUGUGUUAAUUCUAUCUGACAGUUAUGGUGUUCAAAAUAUUUACAAGAAACAUACGAAACAAAAUCAAAAAUAUAAUAAAAGAUUUCAUUGAAAUAAAUUAUAUUAUUAUAUUAACGACUUAAACGACAUUUUGGGAACAUGGUGUUAAUACAAAACACAAAGAAAUAACAAAUGUCUGAUACAACAAACAAAGAGCAUUUUUCUCUACUUUGCAUAAGCUGAAUAAGUAACAGAACUAUACAAACUAAGAGUGCGGUAAAAGUUCAGUUCUAUUUAUCAUAAUUACGAAUCAAUCCAAAAAAUCUUGCACUGCACUCAUAACGGAAGAAUACUAAUCUAUUUAUAGAUCACUGCAGUUAAAACAACUAUCAGUUAAUAUAUUCUAGAAAUUUCUAAUGUCAACUACAAAAUAACAAAAAUAAAAAAAUUAAAUGUGCAGAAUUGACAAGUUCAAAGUUACGUACCAGGUUUUUUUUGCCAAAAUAGCUAUGACUGAUUUUGUCUAUAUCUUUUCUUAAAAGUUACGGACAUUCCAUCUAUUAUGUCAUUAGUAUUCCUGGCUGAUUCAGGCAACUCCUAGCAUAUUCUUUUUACAAUGUCGUCGGUAUUCUUAAGAAAACAUAGCAGACUCUU